UACGUAGGGCGCAAGCGUUGUCCGGAAUUAUUGGGCGUAAAGAGCUCGUAGGCGGUUUGUCGCGUCUGCUGUGAAACCUGAGGCUCAACCUCGGGCUUGCAGUGGGUACGGGCAGACUAGAGUGCGGUAGGGGUGACUGGAAUUCCUGGUGUAGCGGUGGAAUGCGUAGAUAUUGGGGAGGAACACCAGUCGGCGAAGGCGGCUCACUGGACCGGUACUGAC
rnacentral:rRNA from 1 species